rnacentral:rRNA from 1 species
GAAGGACGGGACGAACACCGAUAUGCUUCGGGGAGCUGUAAGCAAGCUUUGAUCCGGAGAUUUCCGAAUGGGGAAACCCGGA